AUGAGGUAAAGGGAACACUGCAUGGUGUUUGCUCAAAUGGCACAGUCAUGUUCCAAGGCAGUGUCCUAAUCCUGUCAACCUCACUGGUUUUAUGAGUUCCAAGUAGGACAACGUGGUGAGAACAUCCUGCGGUUGGAAAAUCACAGGCGUGUCUGCAACCCUCCGGAGGAGAGAGAGUGAUUCAAAGGCUGUGAUGGAAAACAGAGAACCAGACUUCAGGUGUAAACUGGAGAGAGCUUUGCUGCCAGCAAGGCAUCCUUUGAGGUGGCUGCAGCUCAAAAGGGAUGAAAUGAGAAGAGCCAGAGUUUGACUAGAAGUGGGGAAAAAGACCAGCUCAGGUCAGUUAACCUACCACGUUGCAUGUGGGGGAUCUGUGAUCAGGCACUGUCUCUGCCUGCUCUGAAAUAGUGUCAUUUCGAAAAAAAGACUGAAAGGAUACAGUCUUCAAAGGUAUCCUUGCCUGAAUGGCAGCUGCUAGGCACAUCUGAUGGAGGACUCAGGGAACUACCCCAGCAAAAUGCUGCAACUGGUGAGAGAAACACUCGUGUAACAGAAUGUAGCAUUCAGGGAAUGAGUCCUGUGGAUGGAUAGAAAAAGUAUGGAGAGGGAGACCAAGAUGUUCAAAGGUGUGAAAGUAAAAGCUGAAUAGAGUUGGACUCCUCAUCCUGUCAGUGAUGGAGCUUCUUGGUGACUUGAAGGUGACUUCCAGUUUUGUUAUUAUUCUUAGCUGAUACUUAGUUACCUCAGAACCUGAGGAAACCUCCUGUACUUUACAAAUAUCUUUCUUGACGUGUCUCAGACACAGCUGAGAGUGCUUAUUUUGCAGACUUUAAUAAAAUCAUGUGAGAAGGAGAUGCAGGAAGCAGACAUAUUCAAAACUAAAUGGAUCUGGGAUCUUCAAAACUAAUGGAGCUUGGAAUAACAACCAUUUGAAAGGGUGAACUGAAGUCAUGGCCAAUACAUUCGUCAUCACCUCUUCAUUCUGAAGAGAAUGUCAGUUCCAAUGUGGAGAUAUCCCAGUACUCUGCUGAUGAUAAAAAUAAGCAGAGAGAACUGUAGCUAUUGGAAGAGAAAACAAAUGUUUCUCCUAGGCAUUGCAGUCCUAUUGAGGGGCCAGCUGUGUGAGAAGCCACUGAAGAGUGUCUCUCCAUGACCUCAUAACUCUUGAGUCCUCUAGUUUUUCCUCCAUGGCUCCAAUUAAGGUAUGCGACAGCUGGGAUUUUUUCACACGUGCAGAACAGACUUGUGAAAUAAGUGGUA
ensembl:lncRNA